GAGGGAGAGGAGAGAGAACCUGGGUGAAGGAGGAGGGAACGGAUGGUCCUUUGUUCCUACCCAGACAUGGAUGCUAGAGGAACUGUAAUGGAGAUGCUUUGUGUGUGUGUGUGGGGGGGGGGGGGGGGUAUGUGUGCAUGUGUGGUGUGAGAAUACUAAAGUCUUUGAGGGUGCCAGGCACUCUGCUGGCCCCUUACAAUCACCCUGCCAGGUAGCAUGACCAACACCAUUUUUCAGACGAGGAAACUGAGGCUUAGAGAGGUUCAGAGGUCACUCAACUGGUGGAGGAGCAGAGGACUGGCAGCCAGGACUGGCCGACCCCAGAGCCGAGCAGCUGGGUUUGCCCCUCCCGUGCGGAUGCUGUGGUCACGGCUGAGGGGUUGGGGAUGGGUACAGCAUAGGAGCGCCUGACUGCUCAUCCUCCUUGCCCUUCCCUACUUACUCCUGGGUGCUUUAUCUGUCCCCUCCUUCCAUUCUCAGUCUGCAGUUUCCCAGCCUCAGUUCCUGGGGUAAGAGAAUUUGCAGGAUCUUAGGUGAGAAGCCUCUCUAUGUGAUGACCAGGACAGACUCCACACCUUCGUGCCAGUGCCAGUGGAACCUUUGGCCUGGGCAACUUGAGCCUCUGAGCUUACAGCAAAGUCUGCCCCAACCAGGGAAGAGCUGGGGGUCCCAGGGAGCACAAAGUGUCUGUGCCCCAGAUUCAGGGCUGCCCCACCCCCUGUGAGCCUCCCAGUGCCAAGGGUGUCCACAGGAGCAGGUGGGUGGGCCCUGGAACCUGCAUCUUGGAAACCCUAUUGCCAGCGGCCCUCGCAGGCCCCCUCCUUCGCAGGCACGGCUGGGCAGCACUCCCUCCCCGGGUGAUCACAGUUCUCCCGCAAACCCACGCUCAGGAGAUGAAAUAUUCAUCACGUACAUAUUGGCUCCUCCAGCGGCUUUUAGGGAAAGCAAAUGAGACUGACUCCGGGAAGGAAAUGAGUGUGAGGCAUGGGGGGGACAAUGGUGAGGACAAGGGUGGGGAGGCACCUCCUCCCAGCUUCAGCCUCUCUUGGAUCCAGCUUCUGGGCACAGGCUGCACCUUCUAUUCCUGGUGUCCCCAACCGACCACAUCCUUACCCCCACCCACCAGCACCAGAGCCUCCACGUCUUCUCCUGGAAGAUGGGAGUUCACAGUCUUACUCUUACACAUCCAGGGAGAGCCACAAAGAUCCAUCUACACACCAGCCCCUCUCAGGCAGGUGCUGGGCCUCCAGGGGUGAGCAAGGCAGCAAAGUCCCCACCGUCACGGAGGACACAGAUGAUGAACAGGCCAUAGAUGUAUAAGAUCAUUUCAGGUGGCGUAUGAGGGAAACAAAACACUUAUCUUAGUUUGGGUGGGUAAGGAAGGCCUCUCUGAGAAGGUGACAUUAGAACUGAGACCUGGAUGGUGAGGAGGAACUUUCCAGGCAGAGAGAACAGCACGUGCAAGGGCCCAGAGGUAGGAAUGAGCCCCAAGUGUUGAAGGAACAACUGGAAGGCCAAUGUGGCUCUGACUCAGGGGGAGAGAGAGCUUGGAGAGGGUCACAGGGGCCUUGGAAGCCACGGAAGACUUGGGGUUUAUCCUAAGAGCAAAGAAAAGCCUCUGGAUGCAGGAGGAAGGGCACUGGAUUUGGAGCCAAAGUCCUGAGUGUGAGGCCUGAGCAGGUCACUUAACCUUCUAGCCUCACUUUCCUCAUCUGUGAAAUGGGGACAGGAAAGUCCAGCCCACAGGGCAGCUGUGAGGGUUAAACAGCAUCAUUUAUGUGAAAGUGCGUUGCUCUUCAAUGCUAGCAUCACAACAUUUCCCUCCACCUGUCCCUGUGUGAGCCCCCAAAGAUCAGCCUGGACCGUACCAAGUGAUGGACCUCAGAAGCCUGGCAUGGAGGUCAUUCAACGAUUAUUUACUGAGCAACCGCUGUAUGCCUUGCUGCUAUUAUUGGUGCCAGGAUGCAGCUGUGAACAUGACAGACUCAGUAUGGGCUGGAGAGAGCUGGACCAGCCCAUUUCACAGACUGAGUAUGGUAAGGUCAAGGCCACCCAGUGCUAAACUGUGAGAAUGAGAGCCCAGGUCCCCUGACGACCAGUCUAUUGUUCUCCCCUGGAUUCAGACAAUGGGUGCCCCGCCCCUGCCCUCCUGUAGCUGACAGGUCCUCCAACACCUGGAAGGGAACAUGGUUUCCUGCCCCGUGGUCCUGCUUGAAAUGAGGAGGAAUUCUUCUGAGGGAGUCAGGAAGCUCUCUAGAGCUUUCCUGGCUGUGAUGGGCCUUGAAGGACAGAUUUUGGCUGUGAGGAAUGGACAGACAUCUGGCAGAAGGGACAACAAAGGCUUGGAGACUGGAAGCAUGGGACAUGUAUGUGAAACAGUGGGUGGGUCUGUCAAAGAGCACAGAAGAGGAGCAGGGCACGAUGGACCUGGAAGGGCUCUGGCUGCAUUUCCCCCAGCAGUGGGGAGCCACGGGAGCUCUUCGAGUUGGGGAGUGCCGUUCUCAGGACGGCUCCUAAGACAGCUCUGGCAGCUCUGUGCUGACUGUAUCAGAGGGGGAAAGGGAGGCAGGGAGAGCGGCGAGCAGACUAUCGCAGUGGUCCAGGUAAGCGUUAACGGAGGACUCCACUGAAGCAGAGGCAGUGGCAAAGAAGAAAAAGGAGCAAUUUGAGAGGCAUUACAGAGGAGAACCCACCGCCACCUGAGUUGGGCCCUGGUGGAGUGUGGGGAGCAGGAGAGAGGGAGGAGACAAAGAGCUCUCAGAAGAUGGGAGAUUUAGCUGUUCUUUAUUGAUUCUGCGAACAUUUCCUGAGUACCUGCAGAGGGUCAGGCCCUGUGCCAUUCAGGCAGGAAAUUGAGCAAAAUUGUGCAAAACUUGAAGCCUUGUGAUUUGUGCUCUUCUUGGUUUGGGGGAUGGGGAAGUGGGGCGAGGGGUCUUCGGGCUCUGGUGCCCCUCUCAGAGCCUUGAUUUUGUUCUCUGUAAAACGAAAGUGUUUCAAAGGACGGUCGUCCUUUGCCCACACAGCUCCCAGGGCCAGGGAAACAGGGCUGACUGCUUCCAGAAGCUUCUGGAUAGAUCCUCCGAAUUCUGGUCACUCAAGCAUGUGGAAAUGAGGAGGGAGUGGGGAGAGGGGAGGAGCUCUCCUUCGAGGCUGGGGAGGCAGACCCAUUUGGGGAGCAAGGAGCCCUGUCAGGGGUCAUGGUCCUCUCAGGACUGUGGGGACAGGUCUCAGGGCCUCCUCCUUCCCACCCGGAGAAGCAGACCCAGGAAAGGGACACUUCAGGGACUGUGGCAGCAAUUCCUUCAACAACAGGCAGCAGCUAACAUUUCCUGGGUCCUCUGCGAGUAGCUUUACACGCAUUAGGUCAGUCAAUCCUCAGAGUCUCCAGGAACCAGGACUGGCAGCCUCCCAUGUUCCAGAUGAGGAUACUGAGACCCAGAUUUCUGAGACCAUUCACAGCACCAGGUCUUGGAAUUCAGGCUGCCUGACUCCCGCAUCGAGCACAUAACCUCUUCUCUGACCCUCUCUUCUGAGAACUCACCCAGGACCUGGAGCCCACCUGUCCUGCCAUCUUCUCUGCUAAGGCCCCACCCCACUGCAGUGCAGGGGCCGCUGAAUCCAGGGUGCCUUCCUGGGAGCAGAAACAUCUGAAGAGGACUCUGGAGAAGAGUGUGGGAUCGGUUCCCAAACCUGAGAGGGACAUAAAUUUUCCCCAGCAGCACCCCGGAAACGGAGGGCUCCUGGGAAGAUGAAAUGGGAUGGCGUAUACAAGGCCCCGGACAGGGACAGGUUCCCCAGUCAGACACCCCCACCAGACGCCCUCCCCCAGGCUCCUAGCCGCUCCCGGCCCCCAGCUGGGGAAGGUGAGAGGGGCUUCGGGGAGGAGCAGCGAGGCCCCCCGCGCGCCCGGGGGCUGGGGUG